AUAACAAAGUUUACUUCAUUCGUUGCAGUAGAGAUUUCCAUAUGUUAUUUUUGCACUACCAGGAAGUAAGUUUUUACUAAUACCUUUUUCAAGUAUCCUAAUAUUUGCAUGGGUGAAUCAGACAACCAACACUGUAAGAUAUUUAUUAAAGAAACUUCUAUUUUUCAUGUUAUAAAAGCUUAUUUGCUAAUAGGUAGGCAUAUUCUGUAUAAUGUCUGUAAAUAUAUUUCAGGUGAUUCUAAAGAAUUCCUUGACGAAGAAUGUGUUUCGGCCGAAUGUAAUAUUUCAUUUCAUGGCACAACUGAGUGUUACUCAGAAGUAAACGAUGUUCUACCAUCUAACAGAGAAUUAACAUAGAAAACCAUAAGUUUGAGAGACGGUCCGAAACAUUUUCUGACAUUUAUGAUAUGAUUUUUAGCAAGUUAUGGACACAGCAGAAGAUAUACUAGUAGUUGAUGUCUUGGCAUCUUACUGUAGACAUGUCUAUAUUUUAAAGUUGUACUACCGAAGGAGUUCGGUUCUAACUAUUUUCUUACACAUAAUUCUGAAUUUGCAUGAUUGCAUCUGGCAACCAACACAUUAAACAGAUAUGCUGUCACCAAAUUUGGAAAAAAAUGCUUUCAGCGGCAUCUGAAUGUGAACGCUUUUUAAAUGUCAAUUUUGUACAUUUAUAGUCAACAAUACCUACUGGAAGCUCCUAUUUUCUCUUUGAAACAUUUUCUAUACAAAUAGACUGGAAAGGUGUAUGGAAUGGAUUUUUUGUAAAUACAUUUCAGGUAGUCCUGAGCAAACCCCUGAUAAAACAUGUCUUUGGGCUUAUGAUACAAAUGUGGAACACUUAUUACAUCAAAAUGUUCUACCAUCCAACAGAGAACUCCACAUAGCAUGUCGCAAUCUCGGAAGACGGUCUCAAACACUUUCUAAUAUUUGUGGUAUGAUUUGUAAGCAAGUCAUGGAUACAGAAGAAGAUAUAAUUGAUGUCUGGGCAUCUUAUUGUAUAGAGGAUCGUCAUUCCGAUGACACAGUGUCUAUUGUUUUCGUUGUUAUUAGGAAGGAUACAUCGAAAAACAUUCAUCUAAAAGAUUAUAAAUAUCAUUUGAUUUCUCAAAACACAUGUAGCAGUGAAAGCGAAAUCCUACUUACUAGGGAGUUAUCAGAUGAAACACUUGAUAUAUUCAGUAAACGUGAUACACUUGAAAAGAUGAGAAAAUGUAUAGCCCGCCAUGCUGAUGAUCUUCUUGAAAGGCAUAGUAAUAUUAACGUUAUUUUACCAAGUUUAAAGAAGUCGAAGGGAUAUUAUUCAGCCAAUCAUAGCAUUAUCGACGAACCAUGCAUUGCACUCUAUGUUCCUGUAAAAGGAUAUAUACCAAUAAAUGAGGAACCAUUUCCACAAGAACUUGAUGGAUUUAAAAUAGAUGUGCUGGAAGGUAAGUUCGAAACAUAUAACGGAGGACCGAACGAGUUCCACAAACGCCUGAAGAUGGGACUGGCUAUCCAUGCAAACAUUUUUGAUGGUAGUAAUUUAUUUGGUGGUACUCUUGGAGGAUUCAUCAACCAUCCCAUGUACAAGAUGUGUGGGAUCACAUGUGCUCACGUCGUUUGUUCCAGUGAAGAAAUGAACAUUAUCAAGUAUUGUGGUAUCAAAGAUGGUUUGGGUAAACCAGUGUUUCAGCCAAUGAAUGACAAAUCAACAGUGGUAAUAGUGGUAGAGUGGUAAUGGCCGUUUACAAGUCCGGUGAUGAAUCGUCAUCGGGGAUGGAAGCAGCCCUUUUUCGCAUAGAAGAAAGACAUCCAGAAGACGGCAGUUUCCCGAUGGCUUUCAAUGAAAUACAAGCAGGUUUUGAUGAAAACAGACCGCUAACUUACAAUUCGGGAGUUGUCUGUGAAGCAUCGUCCAUUAGCCCGAGAACGGAAGUGUUCAAAUACGGUAUUGCGACUGGUAUCACUAGAGGGAGCUUUGCUUUACAAGGUGCAGUUGUUCGCAAAGAAAGAAUGGAAGGAAAUAAACAUAGUUUCGGAUAUAGUCUAAAAAAUCAGUUAGUAGUUCUGCAAAUAGGAUCGGAGCCUUUUGCAAAACCCGGAGACUCGGGGGCUUUGGUGCUGAUAGAAGACGCCCAUCAUGAUUCUGUUGCUAUCGGCAUUGUUGAAGGUGGUAUUAAAGGCAGAGUGUUUGUGACGCCUAUCUGUGAUAUUUUAAGAGCUUUCGGUUGUUCAGACUUAAAGAUGUACAAUUUCAAAAACUUGAAAAAUGGUUCCCCGUCAGCUGACUCUGGGGUAGAUGUUGAUGAUUACGAAGCGAUGGAUGUCAAUAACAUGUAAAAUCUGAAGAAACUACAGACUUAACAACAACAACAACAACAUUACCUUUAUUAAACUCAAAUCACAAAGUGACACAAGAGUAUACAGUAAAACAUUACAUAUCUGAAAAAUGUGACAUGGUGUAGAAGCUACAAAAAAAAAAAAAAAAGAAGACAAAAUUUACAUUGACUUGAGAUAUAAGAUACAAUAUAUUAUAGAAAAAUAAAAAAAAAUGAAAAACUGAAAAAGUACUAAAAAGCGGAUUUCAUUCAAGGAAAUGAAAUGAGGGGGAAUGAAUACUUUGACCUAUUUUUUUUUUAAACAUAUUUGAUGCACACGCGAUCUAGAGAAACAGACUAUAAUUUUGGAUUUCCAAACAAUUCUAUUUAAAUAAUCUAUUUUGAUUGGUCGUUAUGUCACGCGCUGUGUCAAUUAAAACUGUGUCAGUUGUGUAUGAAACCCAGAUACGGGUCAAAAGCGUGCAAUUUAUUCAUAGACAAGGAAUUUUCGUUUAAGUAAAUUCAAAAGGAAUUAAAAAGUGUUUUUAAAUCUAUAUGACGCGGUGUGAAAGUGUAUGUUCGUAUUGAUUAACAUUGGAAUAAAUUUUGCAUCUCUCAACAUGCUCAGUAUGUGGUCAAAACAGAAAAAUCAAGGCAUGAUGUAACAGUACAAUUCAUGACCUGUGAGUACAUACUUUAGAAAUUUUGUUACACAUUAUUAUUUUUCAUUACAAAGCAGAGCAGAAUCUAACAUAGGGUUACUGUAUGCUUAUUAUGAAAACCUACACUUAUUACAAGACUUUUCAUACCUUAUAUAAAUAUAAAAUAAACUUUUUAAUGGGGAAUCAGAACAGAAUUUCUUGUAUAGUGUACAUUCAAAGCUCAUAUAGAUCUCAUGCUUCUAUGAGAUAGUAACACAGUUCAAAACAAAAACAAACAAACAAACAAAAAUAUACAAAAAAAAAAAAAAAAAAAAAAAAAAAAAAAAAAGGAAGUUGUACAGGUAAAUACAAUGCGGUAUGGAAUGUUUUUUCAUAUAUCUUAUAGAUUAUUUUUAUUUUAAAUAUUUUCACUAUUUAUUCAUUCGGUUGCGGCAGAUUAUAUAUAAUAAUUGUGUGUACAAAUUUUAUCGUUUAAGUGUCUGAAAUAGAAUUUUUAUGAACUUACAGAGGUUUUUUAAUUCCUUUAUUGACCUGGAUGUAAGCAGUUCUUUAUAUUUCAGUAUAUUUGUUCUAGUAUAAUAAUAUCUUUUAAUAAGCAGUUUUCUUUGUUCAUGGAAAAACUGGCAUUUUAGUAGAUAAUGAAACUCAUCCGCCACAUCUCUACUUAAACACAGUGGACAUGUUCUUUGAUUAAUAUC